rnacentral:misc_RNA from 1 species
UAGAGUUGCAAAACUCCCAACCCUCUGUGAACCAUACCUGUUCAGUUGCUUCGGCAGGCGGCCCCAGGGCGGGGUCUUUAGCCUGUUAUAGGUGUUUGCCGAAGGUAUUAAAAAUUCUUAUUUCUUAAUAAAUCUCUGAGCUUUUAAAAUAAGUCA